rnacentral:sRNA from 1 species
AGGAGCAUACUCCAAACUCUUGGUAUUAUCUUUCUGAUAUUCAUAAUCAUCGUUUCCCUGGUGUGCUGUCUUCUCUUAAAAGUUUUAAAUGUCUGCAUGCAGCCAUCUCUAGAAUGUCAAAUGGUCUCUCUUCAGGUGGAAUGACAAGAGCUGAAAGAAAUGUGUGGCCACGAGGGCACCAUAACCUAUGAAUGACGUGCUGAGACCAGAAGCCCAAAAUGAUGGUAACUGAGAGUGGCACUAAGGCCCCACUUUUUGGUCACACUCUCACCUAAGUGAGAACGUGACCAAAAGGGGAGAAUUUUAAGAGAAAAUUAUGGGAGGCCAUUGUUUUGGACUGAGCUCAUGCACUAAGCCCCAAUAGACCAGACCAAACCAAAAUGGAGUUACUCAUGCUAAAUGUGAUGUACCCAAACUAAGACUUUCAUGAAACACAUAGAUCCUAGAAAAUACCUGAUUUUAUCUUUUUCCUGUGAACAGGACAUUCCAGGAUGUACCCUCUACUCUAACCUUUACAAAAAAGUAACCUGAAGUCCUUGUUCCCAACUUACAAAACCCACUGUUUUGCUAUUGCCCAGUGGGUUUCAAGACUAAGUACAUUUGUGAUGGUAAUAGUAACAUCAAUGACUAAAGUUUUGGUCAAUCUCUCAAAAUUGAGAGGAUGACCAAAAGAGGGGAAUUGUUAAAUUAAGUUUAAUCUAAAGCUACCUCCUUACAUAUUUUAAGUUCGGCCUAAGGGUUUCUCUGUACAUCGUCAACUAAAACCUAAGUAGAGUUGUGUGCCUACUAAUGUGCCAGUCACUGAGUUUUAACCAAUCAAAGGCAGGCAACUGUUCAAACCAUGUCCAAACAAGGCAAACGCUGAGCUGUAACCAGUCCAGCUGUUUCGGUCCCUCACUUCCAUUUUCUGUCACUUUUCUUUGUCCAUAAAUCUUCCACCAUGUGCCUAUGCUGGUGCCUUUGAGCCUACUGUGGGUCAGGAGGCUCUUCAAUUCACGAAUCAUUCUUUACUCAAUUCAAUUCAAUUUAAUUCAGCUAAAGUUUUUCUUUCAACACUAUAUAAGUGUGUUUAUUUCUGGACUCUGUAUUCUAUUCCCUCGAUCUACGUGACAAUUUCACACUAUCUUGAUAACUGUAAUUUUACAGUAUCUUGAAAUCAAAUAGUUUAAGGCCUUCAACUUUGUUCUUUUUCAAAAUUGUUUUGGAUAUUCUGGGUCCUUUGCCUUUUUGUAUAAAUUUAAGAUCAGAUUUUCAAAAUCUUUUCACAAAGCAUGUUAAAAUUUUAAUUGGAAUUAUACCAAAUGAAUAGGUCAAUUUGAAGAGGACUUACAUCUUAACAAUAUUGAGUAUUCCAACUCACAAACAUGGUGUAUCUUUCCAUUGAAAUAGGUCUUUUUCAACUUCAUUUUGUAAUGGUUUGUGUUUUUCAUUGCACAGGUCUUGUAUAUCUUUCAUGAAAUAUAGUGCUGGAUAUUUUUCAUAUAUUAACCUAUAUCUUGCAAACUUGCUACAUUCACUUAUUAGUUUUAAUAGUGUUUUUAUAAAUUCAUUAGGACUGUCCAUAUACACUUUUUUCCCCCCAAUUUGUUUGUCUUUUAUUUCUUUUUCCAGCCUUGGCUAGGACCUUCAGUAAAAUACCAAACAUAGUGAUGGCAGACAUCUUUGCCUUGUUCUUGAUCUUAUAUGAAAGCUGAGUCCUUCACCAUUGAGUAUGAUAUGAGGUGUAAAUUUUGGUUUGUUUUUGUUUUGUAGAAGUUUUCAAUCGGGUUGUGAAAGUUCCCUUCUAUUUCUAAUUUUCUGGAAGUUUUUAUUGAGAGGGUACUGAAUUUUAUCAAAUGCUUUCCCCCAUAUCUAUUGAAAUGAUCAUAACACUUUUCUUUUUUAUUCUAUUAAUAAGGUGAAUUAUAUUGAUUCAUCAAACUUUUAAAUCAUUUUAGAAGGUAAACUAAUCUUGUAUUCCCUAAAUAUGCCCCACCUGGUCUUGAUGCGUUAUUCUUUCUAUAGAUGAUUUGAUUUAAUUUGCUAAUAUUUUGUUAAGGAUUUUUGUGUCUAUGAUAGUUAGGAAUAUUGGUCUGCAGGGUUUUUUGUUUUUUUUUUUUUUUGAGACGGAGUCUUGCUCUGUUGCCCAGGCUAGAGUGCAGUGGCAUCAUCUUGGCUCACUGCAACUUCUGCCUCCCAGUUUCAAGAGGUUCUCCUGCCUCAGCCUCCCGAGUAGCUGGGAUUACAGGUGCCCGCCACCAUGCCCAGCUAAUUUUUGUAUUCUUAGUAGAGAUGGGGUUGCACCAUCUUGGCCAGGCUAGUCUCGAACUCCUGACCUCGUGAUCCACCGACCUUGGCCUCCCAAAGUGUUGUGAUUACAGGGUUGAGCCACCGCGCCUGGCCUGUCUGCAGAGAUUUUGUGUGUGUGUGUGUGUGUGUGUGUAAAGCUUUUGCCUGGUUUUAGAAUCAGAGUAAUAAUAGCCUCGUAUAAAAUAAGUUAGGAAGUGUUCCCUCUCUGUUUUCUGAAAGAGUUUGUGUAGAAUUGGUGUUGUUUCUUCCUUAAAUGGAGGAUAGUAUUUACCACUGAAGCCAUGUCAGCCUGGAGCUGCUUUAUGGGAAGGUUUUUAUUUAUAAGUUCAAUUUAUUUAAUUGAUUAUCAGACUGUUUAAGUUUUGUACUUUUUCUUGAAUGAGUUGGUAAUUUGUGUCUUUUAGGGAAUUUGUCCAUUUCACAUAGGUUAUGUGAAACUUUAUUGUUAUAAAGUUGUUCACAAUAUGCCCUUUUUAUUAUUUUCUGUUUGUUUGUUUUCGUUUUCAAGAUGCAGUCUUGCUCUGUUGCCCAGGUUGGAGUGCAGUGGUGCAAUCUCGGCUCACUGCGACCUCUGCCUUCCAGGUUCAGGCUAUUCUCCUGCCUCAGUCUCCCAAGUAGCUGGGAUUACAGAUGUGCACCACCACUCACAAAUAAUUUUUGUAUUUUUAGUAGAGACAGGGUUUCGUCAUGUUGGGCCAGGCUGGUCUUGAAUUCCUGACGUCAAGUGAUCUACCCACCUUGGCCUCCCAAAGUGCUGGGAUUACAGGCAUGAGCCACCAAGACGGGUCCUUUUAUUUUUAAAUUGAGAUAUGGUCUUGCUGUGUCACCUAGGCUGGAGUGCAGUGGUGUGAUCACAGCUCAUUGCAGCCUUGACCUCUUGGGCUCAAGCAAUCCUCCCACUGCAGCCUCCUGAGUAGCUGGGACUACAGGUGUGCACCACCACAACCAGCAAAUUUUUUUUUAAAAUUUUUUAGCAGAGACAGGUUCUUGCCACAUUGCCCAGGCUGGUCUCAAACUCCUGAGCUCAAGCAGUCUUCCCACCUCGGCUUCCCAAAGUGCUGGGAUUGCAAGUGUGAGCCACCACACCCAGCCUAUUCUUCCUUUUUUUUUUUUUUUUUUUUUUUUUUUGAGAUGGAGUCUGGCUCUGUCCAGGCUGGAGGGCAGUGGCGCUAUCUCGGCUGACUGCAACCUCUGCCUCCCAGGUUCAAGUGAUUCUCCUGCCUCAGCCUCCCGAGUAGCUGGGAUUACAGGCACCCGCCACCAUGCCUGGCUAAGUUUUGUAUUUUUAGUAGAGAGAGGGUUUCACCGUGUUGGCCAGGCUGGUCUUGAACUCCUGACAUCAGGUGAUCCACCUGCCUCGGCCUCCCAAAAUGCUGGGAUUACAGGCGUGAGCCACUGCGCCUGGCUGAUAAUAUCUAAUAUUUAAUCAGUGUUUAUUCCAUUAUACUUUACUGUAAUUAUUGAUAUGAUUGGGUUGGGUCUAUCAUUUUAUUUGUAUUUAUGUAUUUAUUUAGAGACAGGGUCUCGCUCUGUUACCCAGGCUGGAGCGCAGUGGCACAAUCACAGCUUACUGCAGUCUUGCCCUCCAAGCAAGGGAUCCCCCAACUUCAGCCUCCCAAGUAGCUGGGACUAAGGCCUGCACCACCAUACCUAGCUAAGUUUUUUAAAAAAUUGUUUUAGAGAUGGGGUCUCACAAUGUUGCCCAGGCUGGUCUUGAACUCCUGGGCUCAAGUGAUCCUCUUGCCUUGGGCUCCCAAAGUGCUGGGAUUACAGGUAUGAGCCACCACACCUGGCCUUUGUUUUCUGUUUGUCUUCUCUGUAUUCCCCCUUUCAGUUCCUCCUUUUCUUUUUUAUUUUCUCAUUUGAAUGUUUUUCAGAAUUACAUUUUGAUUUUCCCAUUAGCCUCUUAGCUAUAAUUCCUUACAUUUUUUAAUGGCUACCCUAAGGAAUGUAAUAUACAAUGAACUUACAGGUCAGUAUCCCCCUCUGUCCUUUGUUAUUGUUGUUACAUGUAAUACAUCUGCAUACAUUGUACACCUCACAAGAAUAUGCUUAAUUUUUGCUGUGAACCAUUAUAUGGUUUAUAAACCAAUUGAGAAGAAAAAUGCAAAUGGGAAAAAUUAUUUGUAUUUACCCAGCUAUUUACCAUGUCUAAUACUUGUCAGCUUUUCUGAGGAUUUGAGUUUCCAUCUGAUAUAAUUUCCCUCAGCAUGAAGAAGUUCCUUUAGCAUUUCUCGUGGUACAGUUCUGUUGGUGAGGCCAUCUCUUAGUUUUAUUUUAUCUGAACCUGUCUUUAUAUUAUUUUUAUUCUAGAAUAAUAUUUUUUCUGGAUGUAGAAUUCCUGAUUGAUAGUUUGUUUUUUUUUCCUUCAGGAGGUUACAAAUGUUCCACUAUCUUCUGGACUCCAUGGUUUCUGAUAAGAAGCAGUCAUGAAUCAAUGAUUGUUUUUCUGUGUAUGUCAUUUUUAUGUUGAUGCUAUCAAGAUGUUUGUUUGCUCUCUUUCUUUGACUUUCAGUAGUGUGAUGUGUCUUAGCAUAGGCUUCUUUAUGUUGAUUUUGUUUGGUGUUAGUUUAGCAUCUUAUAUUUGCAAGAUUCCACCUUUCACCAAAUUUGGAAAAUUUUGGCUAUUAUUUCUUCAAAUACUUUUUUUGGGGGGUCCUGUUUUCUCUUUCCUGUCCUUCUAGUCUUGCAAUUACACUAAUAUUUGAAAAUCUGAUAUCCUCUAAUAGGUCCCUGAGAUUCUUUCUCUUUGUUGUUUAAAAAUAUAUAUAUAUUUUUAGGCCAGGUGCUCACACUUGAACUCCUGGCCUCAAGUGAUCUGCCCACCUUGGCCUCCCAAAGUGUUGGGAUUACAGGCAUGAGCCAUCAUGUCCAGCCCUUUUUAAUCAUUUCUAUUUCUCUGCUGAGAUUGAUCAUUUUCUCUCUUGAGGUUUUUAUUCACUGAAGUCAUGUUUUGUUUUACCUCAUUUAAUUUAGUUAUAAUCACUGCUUUAAAAUCUGUCAGUUCUCACAUCUAGUUCAUCUCACGGAUGGAUUUGAUUUUCUUUUCUCUUGAGAAUGUUCUCUAAUUUCAUAUUUGUAUUUCAGGUAACUUUUGGAUUGUAUUUUGAUACUAUUAAUAGUAAGCUGUGGGGAUUCUGGAUUCUGUUAUUUUCCUCUGUGGAGUGUUGUUUCCUUUGUUUUCAUAGACAAUUUUCUUAUGUGGGCUUGGGGUGAAAACUCUAUUUCUUCAGGAGUAGUUCCAGUUUUGCAUCAGAUCUUUUGUAUUUAGUUGAGCUGCUUUGGGUCUAUACCACAUGAUAAGGUUUAUUAAGUGGGCAGUCAGCUAUACGGAUAUAAUUAAUUUGGGGAUCCCCUCUAUCUUGGUCCAUUUCCUGCUGCUUAUAACAGAAUAUCUGAAACUGGGUAAUUUAUAAAGAAAAGAAAUUUAUUUCUUACAGUUAUGGAGGCUGAAAAGUCCAAAAUUGAGGGGCUGCAUUUGGCGAGAGCCUUCUUGCUGAAGGGGACUCUCUCCAGAAUCCCAAGGCAGUGCAGGGCCUCACAUAGUGAGGGGGCUGAGGGUGCUAGCUCAGGUCUCUCUUCCUCUUCCUAUAAAGCCACCAGACCCACUCCCAAGAUAACCAAUUAAUCCACUACUCUAUGAAUAGAUUAAUCCAUUCAUGAGGACAGCUCUCAUGAACCAGUCACCUCUUAAAGGCCCUACCUGUCAAUACCGCCACCUUGGGGAUUAAAAUCUCAACAUGAGUUUUGGACAGGAGAGACAUUCAAACCAUAACACCCUCUCUGGCUCUUUCCCUUUUGGGAUUUUUCCCAUUCUCUUCAGUGUUCACAUUUUCAUACAUUUACUUUUAUGUUUCCCCAGGCCAGAAAUAAUGCAGAGUUUUGCACAUGUGCCCCCAACCAUUGCUGUGCACAUCCACGUACUACAAUUAGUCCCAGGCUAAAAGCUACAGAGAUGUGAACCUACUUGUGUAGCUCCCCAUCUCCCUUCCUCCAAGUGAGGAGGUACUCCCCAUCAGAGUCUGCGUCUGUUCACUCUCAAGCCCUUCAGGUGGUCGUUUUUUGUAGUAUAACUAGGUUUUAUGAUUAUUUACUAUGGGGUACAUAUGUGUGGGGGUCACCAAGUAGGGUCUUUGUCCAUCUUACCCAGAAGUGGAAGCUUGUCAUGAAUUGGUUCGCAGAGCACCUUGAAUAGUCCUGGCCUAAACCACUGUCUCGAUGAUGGGCCCCAUUCAGAAUGGCAUUUGCAAGUUUCUCUUCCAUAGUUUUCUAGCAGAUGUUUAUAAAUGAGGUUCAAUACCAGUUAAUGUCAAAACUAAUAGAGGAAUUCCCAGUUCAGGCAAAGGGAGCACAGAGUGCCAAUAAUAUCCAAAUAUUGUUUGGUACUGAUUGACUUGACAAAGCUCAUUUCAUAAAAAACAGUUCUGGCUUUUGCAGACUGUUCUCAAUGGAUUUUCUUUCUUUGCUGGCCUUUGACUUUCUGUGAUCUUGGCUGCUGGGAAGUGUAAGGCAGAGGAAGUCCUUAGGCAGGAGAUAAACCUGGGCCUGUUCCUACAGAGAUGGCCUUCUGAGAGGCCUGGGAGCGCUAGCUGGGACAGCAGAAGGCAAAAGUCCCAGGUAGUGUUACGAUGGUUUGGAGCAGAGCCAUGUCAUGAAUAUUUUAAUUUUUUAUUUUAAACCCUAUGAGACAUUGUUGCUUUAUGAUUGUUUUGUACUUUGGAUGUUCAUUUAGAUGAAGCUGAUGGUAAAUACCAUUCUCAGUCUUCUUUAUUUCUUUCUACGUCUCUCAUCUUCCAUCUGGGAUUGUUUUUGUCUCUAAUUCACACUCUUUUGUAUUUCCUUUAGCAUGGAUCUGUUGGCAGUUAUUUUUAUUUUUCAGCAUAUUGAAGACAGCAUUCCACUAUUUUGGUUUCCAGUGUUUCUGUGGAGGAUACAGCUUACUCAAUCCUCACUCCUUUAAAAAUAAACUGUCUUUUUAUUCCCCUGUGGCUUCUUAUUAGAUUUCAUCUUUGUCUUUUUCCAUAAUUUCACUGGAUGUGAAUAUAUGGUGUGUCUAUAUUUAGAUUUCUGUUCGUGUAUUCUGCUUUCUAUUCAUUGAGCUUCUUGAAUCUGUGGUUUGGGAUCUUUCAUCAGUUUUGGCAGAUUCUCAGCUAUUAUCCUAUGCGUUUCCUCUGUCCUGUUUCCCUCUCCUUUUGAGACUCCAGUUACAUGUGUUAGACUUUCUCAACUUAUUUUCUGCAUCUCUUAUCUCUUCUGUAUUUUUUGUAUUUUAAUUUCUUCAUUCUGGAUAGUUUCUUUCUAAGUCUUCCAGUUCAUUUAUUCUCUCUUUAGGUCUCUCUAACCUGUUUUAAUCCCAUCAAUUGAGUUGUUACUGUGUUAUUUCUAAUUUCAGUUCCAGAAUUUCUAUUUAUUUAUUAUAUAAAUACACUAUUUCACUUUUUAUAGUUCAAUUCCUUGCUUGGACUUUUGAACUAUUUCUUUUUUCUUUUUUGAGAUGGAGUCUCACUCUGUUGCCCAGGCUAGAGUGCAGUGGCACGGUCUCGGCUCACUGCAACCUCUGCCUCCUGGGUUCAAGUAAUUCUCCUGCCUCAGCCUCAAGAGUAGCUGGGAUUACAGGCGCAUGCCACCAUGCCUGGCUAAUUUUUUGCAUUUUUAGUAGGCACAGGGUUUCACCAUGUUGGCCAGGCUGGUCUUGAAUUCCUGACCUCAUGAUCUGCCCGCCUCAGCCUCCCAAAGUGCUGGGAUUACAGGCGUGAGCCACCGCGCCUGGCCGAAUUAUUUCUUUGAACAUAGUAAACCUGUUGUGUCAUUGCCAUGUUUCAUUCCAAUAGCUUAAGUUUUUGUGGAUCAGUUUCUGUUGUAUGUUGCUUCUGCUGGUUCUUAUAAUAUCUGCUUUCCCUGUAGAGUGAGUUAUUUUUGUGUUGUUCACUCUAUUUGAGAAGUAUUUGUAGAAAUAAUUUGAUGCUUAGGAUGGCACAUUCUUCCAAAGAUGGUUUUCAUUUGCUUCUGCCAUAUGUCUAAAUGUGCCACCAUUCUGGGUCUGUCUUAAUCCCAAUUCAGGUGUUUUGGUUGCUUGGAUCAACUAGGUGACAAAGAGGUUUUUGAAAUAUUUCAUUUGGGUUUAAAAUAAAAGUUUUUCUCGUUCAGAGGAUAGCUUUAAAUAACUUGGCGUGACAUUACCAGAAGUGAAGCUUUUUCUGUUUUAUGAAGCUUCUUGUAUAAGGCAGGGAUUACAUCUUUUCUCCAUGUGUGGUAGAAUCAUAUAUAAAGUCAGCUGGUUUGAGGCUAUAUUUUGGUGCUUCAUUUUCUGGAAUGUACUUCCACCUUCGUUUGUCUAGUGCUCAUAUAAUUAUUUAAGAUUCAGCUUACAUGGUUUCUCUAGUUGUAUUUCUUCAUCUCUCCAGCUUCCUAGCUCUUUAUACAUCUUUUUUCUGACGUUAUUUAUUAUGCUAUAUUAUCAGUAUAUAUUUCUGUUUUCCUUUAAAAGACUCAGAGGUUAUUCAUGACUGAGGUAUUAUAUUAUUCAUCUUUGUAAGACUAGGUUCUAAUAUAGUCCAUGAUAGAUGCUCAAAUCUUCUGGUUAAAUUGAAAUAUGAAAAAUAAAAUGUAAAAUGGAUUGGUAACAAUCAUAAGGAAUAGCUUAAUAACUUUACAAAUUACAUAAAAAUAACUGAUCCCCACAAGGCAACUAUUACUAACAUCAGAAUGAUCACCUCAAAUACCGGUAGUCUAUUGUCAGUCACUUAUUACCAGUUAUAUCUUGACACUACUCACAAUUUCCUACGUAUUUCCUACUGUUUCUCAUUUGCCCAACUACCUAACAGCUUUUGAUCUCCUUGCUCACUUCAUUCUUUCUACUUUCUCACUUUUACACCACACAGUUCACUGUUAACAUGUAUUGAACUAAGCUAAAUAUACGACAGACUCUGGAUUGACUAUCAUCAAAUCUUCCCAACAAUUUAAUUAAGUAGGUGCUAUUACUAUUCCAUUUUACAAAUGAAAAAAAAAAGGCUUAAAGAGAUGGUUACUUGUCCAAGUUCAGGUGCUAAGAGAUAAAAGAGGGAUUCACAUCACCCAGGUCUGUCUGACUCCAGAGCUCAUGUUCUUUACCAGAAGUUGGCAAACCUUUUCUAAAAAGAACCAUAUAGUUAAUAUUUUAGGCUUUGGAGGCCAUACAGUCUCUGUAACAACAAGUCAGUUCUGCCACUUUAGUGCCAAAGUAGCCACAGACAAUAUGUAAAUGAAUGACUAUGACAGUUUCUAACACAAUUUUAUUUAUGAAAAUAGGUGGCGGGAAGAGUUUGGCUCAUAGGUGAUAGUGUGCCAAUCCCUGCUCUGAACAAGUACACUACUCUGUAAUUUUUUUCUCCUUUUUCUCAAUCUCCAGAGUUUUCCAUUCAACAGAUAUUGAUAGCAUUGCUUCUAAGCACAGGGCUGGGAUGAAGAUGAGAAAAUCCCUGCCUUGAGGGACCUUAGAUGUGGAAGAGGAGGGCAUAAACACACAUCUAUAGCACAGGCUGACUAUGGAAAGUCAGUGCCAAAAGAGAGGCACGGGCUGACCAGAGAUUCUUCUGAAGAACACAUGAGAUCUUGUGGAGUUGGUGAUAUAUGACAAAAGCUUUCUAGCAAGAGCAUCAUAGGCAGAGAUGCUAAGAAGAAAGUUUCCAAUAGAAGAGCCAGCACAAACACACAUUUUUCUAUCCACCUGUCACUUAUCUUCUAUUCUGUCUCUUUUUUUCUGAGACAGAGUCUCGCUCUGUUGUCCAGGCUGGAGUGCAGUAGUGUGAUCUCAGCUCACUGCAAGCUCCGCCUCCCAGGUUCACACAGUUCUCCUGCCUCAGCCUCCCGAGUAGCUGGGACUACAGGUGCCCGCCACCAUGCCUGGCUUAUUUUUUGUAUUUUCAGUAAAGACGGGUUUCACCGUGUUAGCCAGGAUGGUCUCGAUCUUCUGACCUCAUGAUCCACCCGCCUUGGCCUCCGAAAGUGCUGGGAUUACAGGUGUGAGCCACCACACCUGGCCUCAUCUUCUAUUCUCUUUACCAGUAUUCACUUACUUCCUCUCUCUUUUCCUUGCCAAAAUCAUAUGCACUUUGGUCCAAAUCUGUUUUUGCCUUGCACCUCAUCUACUUUCUUCUCUGAUUUUCUUUUUUGCCUUCCUUUUCUUUUCUUUGUUUUUUUGUUUCUUGAUUACUGAGUCAUUGUUGAUUCAAUUCUUCUGCAGUGGGCUCAAGGUACAAAUUUAUAUCACAAAUUUCAUUUGAAGUUGAAUUCAUGUACAUCAACAUGGUGGCAUGUUCAUCUGGUUUGUCUAAGUCAAACAGCUGUACAACAUUAACAAUGUCAUUUAGCCCUAGUGAAAUAUUAACUUGGUUCUGUCAAUUCAGUCAAGGUUGAAAUCCUCUAGUCAAUUUUGGGCAGUCAAUAACAUUCACUGUUUGACCAGUUUAAUUUCCUUUCGUUUCUCUUAUGCAUAUUUCUACUUUUUGUCUGUCCUGUUAAUCUCUCUCUCUUUUAAUCUUUUCCCUUAUAAUUUUUUCUUCUUUUUCCAUCAGCCUCCUUUUCUGUACUUUUUGGAUUAUUGCACUUCUUCUAAAGGCAUGCUAUCUCCUUUCUCCUUUCUGCAGAUAUAUAUAUGUAUAUUUAUUUAUUUAUUUAGAGAUGGAGUCUUGCUCUGUCACCCAGGCUGGAGUGUAAUGGCGUGCUCUCAGCUCACUGCAACCUCUGCCUCCCGGGGUCAAGCGAUUCUCCUGCCUCAGCGUCCUGAGUAGCUGGGAUUACAGGUGCCUGCCACCAUGCCUGGCUAAUUUUUUUCUAUAUUUUUAGUAGAGAUGGGGGUUUCACCAUGUUGGCCAGGCUGGUCUCAAACUGCUGACCUCAAGUGAUCUGCCUGCCUCCGCCUCCCAAAGUGCUGGGAUUACAAGCGUGAGCAGGCGUGAGCCACCGCGUCUGGCCUCUGCUGAUAUAGUUAAAAAGAUUCUUUGUUCAUUAAUGCAACUUUUAUUGAGCAAUUACCACAUAGUAGGUCUUUUUCUAGGUGCUGGGCUGGAGAUACAAAAAUAACCAAAAGAGACAAAAAUCUCUACCCUUGUGGAGCUUACAUUCUAGUAGUAAGUGAAAUAGACAAGCAACAAUAAACAAAAUAGAAAAGUAAGUUAUAUAAUAUAUCAAGUAUUAAGUGCUAUGCGGAAAAUUCCUGGGGAUCAGGAAUUUGGGUAGCCUGUUACAAUUUUAAAUAGAUUGAUCAGGAAGGUUGUCAAAAGAUAAUUUGAACAGGUAGUUGAAGGAAAUAAGGAAGCAAAUCAUGGAGAUGUUUGUGAGGAGUUGUUCUAUACAAAAAACAAAAACACCAGCAUAUACAAAGUCCUAAGGCAGGAGGGUUCUUUUCCUGCUGGAGUUGUGGGAUAAAAAAAAAAAAAAAGGAAAAACAAAACUUUAUCUGAGGAAUAUGAGCUCCUUUAAAUGAUCAGGCCUAGAGAAGCAUUGGAAUGAAACAGCAAUCAUGUCUCUCCUCCUUGAGCUAAAUACUUACCUCUUUUUAAAAAGAAUUAUUACUAUUUUUUAAAGACAGGGUCUCACUCUAUUACCCAGGCUGGAGUGCAGUGGUGUGGUAAUAGCUCACUGAAGCCUUCAACUCCUAGGCUCAAUGAAUCCUCCCAUUUCAGCCUCUGGAGUAGCUGGGACUAUUGCCAUGUACCACCACGCCUAAUUUUUUAAAAAUUUUUCGUAGAGAUGGGGGGUCUCACACUAUGUUGUGCAGGCUGGUCUCAAACUCCUGGGCUCAAGCAAUCCUGCUGCCUCAGCCACCCAAAGCACUGAGACUACAGGCAUGAACCACCAUGCCUGGCCCAAUUACCUCUUGAAGCCACAUUCUAUUUGGGCUCUAGAUGAACUGAUGUCAACUAGCCACACAAUGGCAUACAAUCUAUAGUUCAACAUUGUACAGCCAAUCAUUAACCAACAUUAUUUCUUAAACCAAUAAGAAUUCAUGACAACCUUUUAAAUCACCCUGUCUCCUGAUUCGUCCUUUUUUCUUUAAAAAGUUGAGCUUCUCUUUCGUUCGCCAGAGCACUCCCCAAGGCAACUUGGAUGUGUGUCCUGGACUGCAGUGCUCAUGUUGGCCCAAAUAAACUCUUUAUAUUGAUUUUACCUCAGCUUAUUCCUUUUAAGCAGAGGACAAUAAGGAGGUCAGUAUGGCUGAAGCGCAAUGGAAGAGGAAGAGGCUAAUAGAUGUGAUUAGAGCCCGCAGGGGCUGGAGGUGAUGGCGAAGGAGGAGGCAGGUCAUUUAGGGGCUUUUCUAUUGGAAGAACUUGGCUUUUACUCUGAGUGAAAUGGAAGUCCCUUAGAGGGUUUUGGGCAGAGUUAAAUGUUGACAUAUUUUUUAAAGGAUCUAAAACAUAAGGAAGCAAGAGCAGAGGCCAAAAGACCAAUCAGGAAUAUAUUGCAAUAUUCCAGGCAAGAAGUAUGAUAUAGGGAAUGUUCUUCUGGGAAUGUGGUUACAUUUGAGGAUAAGAAAACUAAAGGUCAGGUUUGUUUGUUUGUUUGUUUGUUUGAGACAGGGUCUCCCUCUGUUGCCCAGGCUGGAAUGCAGUGGUAUGAUCUCAGCUCACUGCAACAUCUGCCUCCCAGGUUCAAGCAAUUCCCUUGUCUCAGCCUCCCAAAUAGCUGGGACCACAGGCGCCUGCCACCAUGCCUGGCUAAUUUUCAGUAGAAAGGGGGUUUUGCCAUGUUGGCCAGACUGGUCUUGAACUCCUGACCUCAAGUGAUCUGCCCGCCUCGGCCUCCCAAAGUGCUGGGAUUACAGGAAUGAAGCUACCGUGUCUGGCCUAAAGGUCAGGAUUUUGGUGCAUAACAAGUACAUUUUACCAUCCUGUGCUCCUUAAGGGAAAAUUAAGAGAUUUUGCCCUGCUAGCUUAAGGAGUGUUAAACAUUUUGCAUUGUCUUGAGCAUUGCUAUUAAUAAGUGAUCUAAUACCUGGCACAUAGUACACAGCAACAUUCGUGGAAUGAAUAAAUACAUACCCAAUUAAAUGGGUAAACUGAAUGACAGUAUCAAGUAACUUGCUUGUGCAGCAGCAUUCAUUUCCCUCCUUCCUUUUUUUUUUUUUUUUUUUUUUUUGAUACAGGGUAUCAUUCUGCCACCCAGGCUGGAGUGCAGUGGUGUGAUCACAGCUCACUGCAGCCUCGACGUCCUGGGCUCAAGCAAUCCUCCUGCCUUGGCCACCCAAAGUGCUGGGAUUACAGGCAUGAGCCACCAUGCCCCACCAGGAUUCACUUCUUCUGCAUACUCUGGUGGUGUUUAUUGUAUCUUUACAUUUUAUUUAGCAAAGAAUGUUAAAAGCGCCAUGUUAUAAGCACACUCCUACCCUCCAAGCAGAAUGUAGAGGGUAUGUAUUUAUAUAUUUUAAGUGGUCCCACAGCAAUUUGUACAGUUAUAGCAGUUCACAACCAUACUCAGUUAUGUUUGCUUCUCUCCUCAAUAGUCUGUGAGGUUCCUUCAGGUUUGGAACUAUCUUUUAUUAAUCUUUAUAUCUCCAGCACCUAGCACAGGGCUUAGCAACAAUUUUUGUUGAAAGAAAGUAUAUACACUGUAAUAAAGGGCAGUAGAAAGAAAAUAUGUGAGUUAUCAACACCAGCUAGAGAAGCCUUGUCUGAUUCCUGUGAAAUAUAUUCAUUUCCCUUAGGAAAAAAACAAUUCUAACCUUAUUGCUGUGUAACUUAGCUUCUUGACUUCGAACGGUAUUUUAAGCCUUUGAGGAGCUGCAGCAAUGUAUACUCACUCGAGGCAGAGUGCCUGGUAAGUGGUCUGGUAUUAAUCAGCAAUGAUCAGUAAGUACUGGGAAGUGAGUUUUCAGGGCCUGAGACUUGCAAGCCGGUGACAGACCGCUCCAGCUUCCAGUGGACCCGGGCGGGGGCACUGAUCAACCCACUUAGGCAGUGGGAUCAAGGUCUUCAGCCUUAGCAGGGGGAGCCUCGGCCCGGCCCCCUUCGUUCCCGAGCCCCUCAGUCAGCGUCUCCUCCCAAAAGGGUCCCCUUCACCCAGAAUGUCCUCCCCUGGGGGAGACCCCUCUGUCUGCGGGCCCCCUCCCAUAGGAGGGCCCCUCUUCCUCAAGGUGAACCUCUGUUUCCGAUAUCCGCUCCCAAGACCGAGAUCUUGUUACGGCCCCACCCUCCACAGGCCCCUUACCCCCCGGAUCCCCUCCCCUGGGGGAGACCCCUCUGUCCGCGGGCCCCCUCCUAUAGGACGCGCCCCCCUUUCUCAGAGUGAACCUCUGGUUCCCGAUACCCGCUCCCAAGACCGAGACUCUGUUACGGCCCCAUCAACACGGGUCUUCCUCACCGCAGCAUCCCCUCCCCGCCGAGGAGCCCCGGCCGCGACGCUUCCCAGUCAAUCACCCCCAGCAUCCCUCCGCACUCUCACCCAGGACUUCCGCCGCGCCCCCUCCCCUCAGGCGGGACUUCCGCCGGCGCCCCCUCCCCCAGCGGCGCCGUCUCCUCCUCCUGCCUGAGGCGAGUCUGGGCUAAGCCUAGAGCUCUCCGGCCCCGGCGCAGCCUCAGGGCAGCGCGGGCUGCAGCGACGGCGGCGGUUAGGGCUGUGUAGGGCGAGGCCUCCCCCUUCCUCCUCGCCAUCCUACUCCUCCCUCCUCGCCAUCCUCCCGCUUCGACCUCCUCGCCUUCCUCCUCCUCGUCAGGCUCGGCUUAGCUGUGAGCGGCAAGAUGGCGGCGCCCAGGCUGCCGCCUGCCAGGCUGUCGGGCGUCAUGGUGCCGGCGCCCAUCCAGGACCUGGAGGCCCUGCGCGCGCUCACGGCGCUCUUCAAAGAGCAGCGGAACCGGUAACGGGCCUGGCCGGGGGGCUGCCCCGGGCAGGGGAGGGCGGCCGGGACUCCCGCGGCGGCCCCGGCCUGGACCCAGGCGCCGCCCCCGCCUCGCUGGAGACGCGGAGGGCGAGGCCUGCGCGGGCUGCCCGAGCGCCACCCAGGCCUCCCGACUCCCAGGCACCGCCUCGUGCUCGUGGGUCCCCGCGGGGCCUGGGGCGGGCGCCCGCUACCCCACCGCAGCCAGUCCGGGUGCGAAGCCGCGACCCCGGGAGCCCUUGCCGCGGCGUGCCGGUGAUGUUGACCCAACACACGCUUAGGCCGCCCCUGUCAUGUGGGAGGGCUGCGCCAGGCCCUGGCUGCAAGACCCACGGGGCCCCCAAAGUCAUAAAGCGUGUGUUUUAGCGGGAGAGACGCGUGUUACGGACGCGGGAAUUAGGCAGUUGCGGGGAUGGCAGUCUCCAGGCAUGGAGUGGGACUGGUACUCCUUUCUCCUCGGCGUUAGAGCCCAGGCUGCACCAUCUCCCCUGGGGGCAGCGCUCUGUGCAGUGUGGAAGAGCACGGGCCUGGAGAGACCAGUCCAGUCCUGAUGCCACUGAGGGGCAAGAUAGCCAGGCAAAAAGAGAAGGUGCCCAGGAGUCGACAGUUGUGGAUUUGGUUCCUGGCCUUGCAAACUGCGUGUUACUGUGCAGUUUCUCCAGGCCUUAGAAUUCUUGUCUAAAAAUGGGACUAUAAUACACAGCCUAGUUGCUGGAUUGUACAGAGGAAUAAAUGAAAUAAAGCAUGUGAAAAUAUAAAAUGUGCGAAGCCCUCAGUCAAUGCUUGUUUGAUCUUGUUCUAUCCUCUGGGCCUCAGUUUUCUUGUCUAUUUAAUGGGAGUAAAGUUGAACAGUACCUCCCUGGUGAUAGUGUCAUAAGGAUUAAAUGAGAUAUAAUGCAUAUUAAAUCCUUAGGACAUACCUGUACAUAGCACUAAAUGUAGUUGAUAGUAUCACAACACAUUGAUUGGUAGUUCCCCAUGUGUCAGCUAUUGUGCUAGGUGAUGGGGUGGGAAAAUGAAAAGUCCUUGCUCUCUCCUGUACUAGUAUGUACAAGAUAACACAGCUGUGGGGGUAUGUAUGUACAAAGAGCCGAGGGAACAUUGAAGAAAGAAAUACUUAGACUUGGGUCUGCCUAGGUGAUCACUAGAGGACUUCCUCUCUUUAAACUAGACACCUGGUCUGAGCACUUCCUUUACCUCAAAUCAGUUUGGCAAAUGUGGAGCUGCUGAAAGAAUGCUAUUAAUAAAAGUCCCUGGUACUGCUCUAUGGGCCUUUGGGGGAGAGGUAUUUAUUGAUUUAAUGCUUAGGCAUUUCUGUAUCAUGAUGGACCCUCCUUUUAGUUAAUAACCCAGUCAUCAACCAUUUAUUGAGCACCUACUAUGAAACAGAUUUUUUGUUAGGGUCUGAGGGUACAAAGAGGAAUGAUGUGAUCCCUUUUAUCAAGCAUAUUUGGGAAAUUGCUAAAUAAACACAUUGUAAUGGAAAUCUAUACAAGAGGUGGUGGCACAGGGGAACAUGUGGAUCUGUUGAAGACUGGCGAGCCAGGAGAGGCUUUUUAAGAUUAUUUCAGGUGCUGGGUUAUAGAUAAGAGGACUAGAAGGAACAGUGUCUGCAAAGGGGCCAUAUGUUAAUUUUGCAAAACCGAUGAGACAAUUAAGUAACAUAGAUUAGGUUUCUCGUACAGAGGAGACAUUUAUUCAGACAUCAGUUCCCUUUUUAUAACUUGGAGAAAAUCCAAGCACCUGAGCCCGUUUAGAAGGCCCUUCUUGACUCUAUCUCUUGUGAGGGAAGAAGUUACAGAGAACCAUUGAUGGUUUUUGUCAAGGGAGUGGCAUGGUAAGAUCUGCCUGUUAGAUCUUCCUGGCCGCCUGCGCCUGCGCCUCCUCCUCCGCCUCCGCCUCCAUUGUGGGGAAUAAAUGAGAGGAUGAAGCUAGAGACAGGGGGGACCUUUAAGGAGUGGUAGCAGAAGCCCAGGUGAAAGAGAAAAGUGCCUAAAUUAGGACAUUGUGGGGAUGAGUAGAAUAAAUACUGAGAGAUACAAGGUCGAAUGGGCAGGACUCGGACCAAUUGGAUUGUUGGAGGGAGAAUGAGUAAAUGAGGAUGCUUCCCAGAUUUCAUCUGAGUUCUGGGGCAGUGUCCUUGUUCCAGGCAGAGAUUGGAGACCAGGAAAGGUGAACUGAUGUGCAGGUCCUGGCAUGGAAAGACAAAGUUGUGUGGUGGUGCAGAGAACUCAUGAUCAGGGUUUAUAAGGACAGGCUUCUGGUCUUGGUUCUGUCACUGCUUCUCUUUGUCUUUGGACAAAUUAUAAGGGUCUUGUGGGGCUGGGCCCAGACUCCCGCUCCUCUGAGAGGAUCCCUCCAGUUCUGAUGCUCAGGGAGCCAGUGUUUGUCCUUGGGGGUCUUCUCUUCAGAGAGGGCAUAGGGCUGUUGUCUAGUGUGAACAGGAACACGGAUGGACCAAGGUGUUAGAAGGUGGACGAGACAAAAAGCCAGGCAAAAUGAGUCCUCAGUGUAGCAAAUAGAAAACAGCAGACAAAAAGCAAAAACAGUGAGGAAAGUAAUUAAGAGAUUCUUCUCUUUUGGUGGAAUACAUUAUUUCUCUAGGAUUCCAUUUUAUAUUUGAAGAAUCAUAGACAUAAUGUAGUUGGUGGUCCUUCUGAGCUCUUCCAUGCUACAAAACAAACUUCUGUCAGUGGUAGCUUGAGUAAUAGAAGUGUCAUGCAGUGGAAAGAGCAGUGGCUUUGGAACCAUGGAGACCUGGAUAUGAAUCCUGGCUUAGUUUCUGUAGACUUCUUGUUUCUUGUCUUGAAAACAGGAUGAUGGUAGCCACUUUUACAGAUUAUUUUGAGGAUCUGUAAUAUUAUAUGUGUAGCAUAGUGGUUUAUGCAUAGUAAAUGCCAUUUAUUUAGGAGCUGUUAUUAAAAUAUAGCAAGGUUAUAAGUGACCAAGAAUCCAUUUGUGUUGAAUCUCCUGUCUUAUCAGAAACAAAAAUUGAAGCUAUUUCAGGAAGACAGUUCUAAUUUUGGGGUUUCCAGAGAAAGGGAUCUCAGGAUCUCAUUACAUUUUUAGCAACCCCCAAGUGAAAAGAAAUUCUUAUAUCCCAUUGUGGUAAUUUUAAAUAUGUCCACAAAUUCUUUCAUACCCUGACCUUCUCAAGAGGAGGAGGUUAAUUGUUUUCUCCUUGAGUGUGGGCUGAACUUAUUUAGUGACUUGCUUCUGAAGAAUAGAAUACGGCAGAAGUGACAGUGUGCGACUUCUCAGACUAGGUCAUAAAAAGCAUCGUAGUUUCCUCUUUGCUGGCUCUUUCUUGGAUCACCCACUCUGACAAAGCCAGCUGCCAUGUCAUGAGGACACUCAAGCAUCCAUAUGCAGAGAGCUGUGUGGUGAGGAGCUGAGGCCUCCUUUGAACAGCCAUGUGAUGAACUCCCUUGGAAGCAGCUCCAGUCACAUCCUCAGCCACGUGUGCAACCUCAUGAGACACCCUAAGCCUCUCAGAUCUGUGUGAGAUCAUAAAUGUUAUUGUUUUAAAAUGCUAAAUCUUGGGCUAAUUUGCUAUGUAGCAAUACAUCAUUAAUACACCAGUCUUAAUUCUCCAUGCUCUGUAUUAAAUGCAUUCUGUAACCCACUUCUUAAACAGUGUCUUGGUCACUAAAAUGAUUUAAACAUAUUGCUUAUGGUCGUAUAAUAUCAGUAUUGAGAUAUUCCUCAGCUGUUUCUUCUCUGUGUAAGAUAAUUCUUUUUUCUCACAUUUGUUUUAUACUUUUUGUUUAAUUUAGAUAUCGGUGUAUUUCACAUUUGUUUAACAAGUGAUUUAUCUUGCUGUGAGUCUUUGCAAGUCAUGUUAAAUUCUUUCUGAACAAGUAAGACAAACACAUUUAAAGUUCUAUUUUAGUUGCUCCUUUAGUUAUUUUUAUUUUUAUUUUUCGAGACAGGGCCUCACUUUGUCAUCCAGGCUGGAGUGCAUUUUUUCUAGAGAAGGGGGUCUCACUAUGUUGCCCAGGCUGGUCUCGAACUCCUGGCCUCAAGUGAUCCUCCUGCCUCGGCCUCCCAAAGUGUUGGGAUUACAGGCAUGAGCCACCGUACCUGGCUAGUUGCCUUUAUGAUGCAUCUAUGAGGCAUCUCCAGACCCCACAAAGUGUAGAGCCAGGUGAGAUGGGUUGUCAUACUCCAUCUGUGCUGUUCAUUAAGUAGCCACUAGCUACAUGUAGCUACUUAAUUAAUUGAAAAUAAGUAAAAUUAAUGUUUCAUUAAUAUAGCUAAUAGUUGCAUUAGCUAUAUUUUUUAAUUUUUAAUUUUUUUUUUUUUUUUUUUGAGACUGAGUUUCACUCUUGUUGCCCAGGUUGGAGUGCAAUGGUGUGAUCUCGGCUCACCGCAACCUUUGUCUCCCGGGUUCAAGCGAUUCACCUGCCUCAGCUUCCCGAGUAGCUGGAAUUACAGGCAUGCGCCACCACACCUGGCUAAUUUUAUAUUUUUAAUAGAGACAGGGUUUCUCCAUGUUGGUCAGGUUGGUCUUGAACUCCAGACCUCAGGUGAUCCGCCUGCCUUGGCCUCCCAAAGUGCUGGGAUUACAGGCAUGAGCCACCAUGCCCUGCCCUUUAUUACUAUUUUUUCAGAGACAGGGCCCUGCCCUUUAUUACUGUUUUUUCAGAGACAGGGUCUCACUCUGUUGCCCAAGCUGGAAUGCAGUGGCACGAUCGUAGUUCACUGCAUCCUCGACUUCCUGGGCUCAAGCAAUCCUCCUGCCUCCUUCCCCAGUAGCUGGGACUACAGGUGUACACCACCAUGCCCAGAUAAUUUUUUUGUUUAUUUUUUGUAGAGAUGGAGUCUCGCUGUGUUGCCCAGGCUGGCAUUAGCCAUAUUUUAAGUGCUCAUUGGCCACAUGUGAUUGUGACAGCACAGAUACAGAAUAUUUCCAUCAUCACAGAAAGUUCUGGAAAUAGUGCUCUUCUGUAAUAAGUUUUCUAUAGGGGAGAUUGUGUUCUGACUCUUGAGUAUUCUUGAAAUAGUGGAACAUUUGGAUACUGCUUUCUAUAAAUUCAUCUCAUACUUAAACUGAUAUCUCAUUGGUCUUCCACCUCAUAAACUUGUUGAAUAAAGUGGGGCACAUCACAUUCACUGUAUGCCUGGCAUCUAGCAUAGAGUUGAUAGUGGCAGAUGCUUAUCAGUUUCUUGUGGAGUUGCUGCUAUUUCUAUAACUUAUUACUCAUUGCACUUGCUUGGUCUUUUUCUUAGUCAUGUAGACGGUAAUUUUUUUUUCAGCUUCUAUCAGUGUAGCUCAUUUUUUCUUUUCAAUCUGCUUAGACAAAAUGAGGUUUCCGUUGGUGUUUAAUUUAAAAAUUAAAAAAAAAUUCAGGCCAAAAGUUCUUAAAAAAAAUGAAAAGGCAAGUCCUGGACUUAGAGAAGUAUUUAAAAUAUAUAUGAUAAAGAAGUUGUUUCAGAAUAUAUAAAGUACUCCUACCUACAACUCAAUAAAAAAGACUCCUACAACUCAAUUUAAAAAUUGGAUAAAAUCUGUGCUUUACAAAGAAAAAUAAAGGCCAAUAAGCAUAUGAUAAAGUGCUCCAAAUCAUUAGUCAUUAGGGAAAUGCAGUUAAAACUACAGUGAGAGACUACUGCAUGCCGUUUAGGAUGGCUAUUACCCAAAAAAUGGAAAAGAACAAGUAUUGUUGAGGAUGUGGGGAAAUGGGAACCCUUGUGUGUUGCUAGUGGACAUGUAAAAUGGUGCUGCCACUAUGGAAAAUAAUUUGGUGGGUCCUCAAAAAGCUAAACAUGGAAUAUGACCGAGCAGUUUUACUCUUAGGUAUAUGCCCGAAGAAAAUGAAAAAGGACAAAUACUGUAUGAUUCUGCUUUUAUGAAAUACCUAGAACAGACAAACUUGUAGAGACAGAAAGUAGAUGAGAGGUUACUAGGAUUUGGAGAGAGGGGAAAUGGGGAGUUACUGAAGAAUGAAGAAUGGUAGCUUCAUGUUUACGGAGUUUCUAUUUGGGUGUUAAAAAAAUUUUGGAGGUAGAGGUGAUAGUUGUACAACAUUGUGAAUAUAAUUAAAGCCAUUGAACUGUAGACUUAAAAUGAACAACAUGGCAAAUUUUAUGUUAUAUAUAUGUAUUUCACCACAGUUAAAAAAAUUAAUUAUAUAAUGUACGAAAAUCCAUUUAAUUGUACACUUUAAGUGGGUGACUUUAGUGUGCCACAUGAACCCUAUCUCAAUAGUGCUGUUAUAAACAAAACCAUAAUAAGAUACCUCUGCAUCCCUAUUAGAAUGGCUACAAUGAAAAUGACUGACACUGAAUUUUGGUGGGCAUGUGAAGCUAUAUAUUUAUGAUUUUUAAAAAGUCACAUUGUUUGGAGUGGAGGGGAUGUGUUUAAAAUAUGAGCUCCUGCCUCACUGCUAUUUUCGUUUCAUAAGAAAAUAGCCUUUUAUGUAUCUUUUUCCCUACUCAGUAGUGCGUUUCUUGAAGGGAGGGACUUUAUGGUGUUUCUUAGCAGAGUGCCUGGCCCAUUUUGGGUACUCUGUAAAUGUUGAACUGAACUGAAUAGAGCAGUGAAGAGCCAGUAGCUCCAGUGAGCCAAUCAGUAAUUACUCAAAUUACUAAAAUGCUAUUGAUUAGUUUACCAUGUAAUUCAUUCAUUGAAUCACGCCACACAUGAUAUAUGUAAGAUCUGUGCUUAGUGCUGCAGCUGCGAUCGAUAUGAUAAAAUUAACUAUGUUAAUUUUAUUUUGUUAGUAGUUCAAAGUAGCUUAUUUUGAACUAACAUAGGAGUAGCUCACAUGCUAUUAAAUUAUUAAAUUUAAUAAAUUUGUAAUUUGCUAAAAAUGUAUAUUUGUAAUUUAUAUUUACAAAAUAAAUUUGCAAAUUUGUAAAUAUAAAUGUCUUAAGCCUUCAUUCCUUUGCUUAUACACACUCCUUAUUUUCCCUUAAGGUUGAGUUGUCAUUUCACUUCCUUUUGAAAGCUGUUUCUGACCUCCAGGUGCUUUUGCCCCUGUAUUCCCUUGGCACUCUGUGCUUACCUCUUUCAAAGAACUUCACAUAGAGUAUUACAAUCACUUAAUUGCCUACCAGUCUCACUACAGUGAGAGCAGCCCAAGGCCAGGACUCUUACUUACCUCUGUUUUCAGUACCAACUUUCAGGCCUACAACAUAAUGAGAAUUCAAUAGUAUUUUUAUUAUUUUCUUGAACACCUAAUUUUCUUGAGCCAUGAGAGAGAAAAUGAGAGCAUAGAAGAAAGACUUUAAUUAGGAGGGGACAGGAAACGUUAAAUAUGACAGAUGACUGAUUUCAAGGGGUAAAAAAUGACUUGGUGUUGUUACUUGGUUGUAUAAAUAUGUUGACUAACCUUCAUAAAGAAAGUGAAUAGAUUAAGCACUUUAGAGGUCAACAUACCACAGAGGUAAAAAAUAAACCUAUCCAUCUGUGUAUACACACACACAUGGAUUUUCCUCGGACGUUACUGAGCCUCUGGCCAGCAAGUGUCUUUAACUACACCAAAACACACAAAAACCCAAAAAACAAAAACCCACACGAGUCAUCAGCUUGGCUAAGGAUGCCAUAUGGCGUUUUGACUCAACCAUGAUUCAGCUCAACUUUGUCGAGAGAGAACAUCAAUUAAGUUACACUAUAAAAAGCAUAUUUUAGAGUGUGCUGGCAGUUUCCUUUAUUUUUACCUAUGCCAUGAGCUGGAAUGCUACAUGGAAUUGUUUGGUAAGGUGUUCUGACUCAGCUUCAAAACACAGAAGUGGUCAGUGUGAGCCACCUCAUACAUUCAAUUAUCUUAAAUGCAUGAAGUAGACAGGAAAGAGUUUGAGCCAGCCAAUCGAAAUAAAUAAGGUUAGGAUUGUGACCACCAGUACCCUCAGAGCAGAGUUUCUCAGCUCUUUCAUUCUUCCAGUCUUUUGUAGUGGUCACUGGACCCAAGGGCUUGGUCACUGGACUGUGGGCAAUGUCACUCAAAAGCAAAGGAACUGUGGGACUACCACUAGGGCGAGCUGGGCCCUCUGAUGGCCACAAGCUU